rnacentral:rRNA from 1 species
AUUGAACGCUGGCGGCAGGCCUAACACAUGCAAGUCGAACGAGUGGCGGACGGGUGAGUAAUGUCUGGGAAACGGCCCGCUGGAGGGGGAUAACUACUGGAAACGGUAGCUAAUACCGCAUACCAUCGGAUGGGACAAGAUGGGCUUAGCUAGUAGGUGGGGGAAAGGCUCACCUAGGCGACAAUCCCUAGCUGGUCUGAGAGGAUGACCAGCAACGCUGGAACUGAGACACGGUCCAGACUCCUACGGGAGGUAGUAGGGGGGAAUAUUGCACAAUGGGCGCAAGCCUGCUGCAGCCAUGCCGCGUGUAUGAAGAAGGCCUGCGGGUUGUAAAGUACUUUCAGCGGGGAGGCGUUACCCGCAGAAGAAGCACCGGCUAACUCCGUGCCAGCAGCCGCGGUAAUAC